rnacentral:piRNA from 1 species
UCUACUUUCUUCCACUGUGAUGUUUCCC